rnacentral:misc_RNA from 1 species
GAAAUGCGAUAAGUAAUGUGAAUUGCAGAAUUCAGUGAAUCAUCGAAUCUUUGAACGCACCUUGCGCUCCUUGGUAUUCCGAGGAGCAUGCCUGUUUGAGUGUCAUGAAAUCUUCAAAGUAAAUCUUUUGUUAAUUCAAUUGGUUCUACUUUGGUCUUGGAGGUUAUUGCAGCUUCACACCUGCUCCUCUUUGUUCAUUAGCUGGAUCUCAGUGUUAUGCUUGGUUCCACUCAGCGUGAUAAGUAUCUAUCGCUGAGGACACUGUAACAAGUGGCCAAGGGAAAUGCAGAUGAACCGCUUCUAAUCGUCCAUUUAUUUGGACAACAUUUUUUAUGAUCUGAUCUCAAAUCAGGUAGGACUACCCGCUGAACUUAA